GCAGGAUGACGGCCUUAUGGGUUGUAAACUGCUUUUGUAAGGGAAGAAUAAGAGCUACGAGUAGUUUGAUGACGGUACCUUACGAAUAAGCAUCGGCUAACUCCGUGCCAGCAGCCGCGGUAAUACGGAGGAUGCGAGCGUUAUCCGGAAUCAUUGGGUUUAAAGGGUCCGUAGGCGGGCUAAUAAGUCAGGGGUGAAAUCGUUCAGCUCAACUGAGCAACUGCCUUUGAAACUGUUAGUCUUGAAUAGUUGUGAAGUAGUUGGAAUGUGUAGUGUAGCGGUGAAAUGCUUAGAGAUUACACAGAACACCGAUAGCGAAGGCAUAUUACUAACAAUUGAUUGACGCUGAUGGACGAAAGCGUGGGGAGCGAACAGGAUUAGAUACCCUGGUAGUCCACGCUGUAAACGAUGGAUACUAGCUGUUUGGACGCGAGUUUGAGUGGCUAAGCGAAAGUGAUAAGUAUCCCACCUGGGGAGUACGUUCGCAAGAAUGAAACUCAAAGGAAUUGACGGGGGCCCGCACAAG
rnacentral:rRNA from 1 species